UGAAAGAAAAAUAAGAAGAUUUGUGAAACCCUAAAACUGGGUUUGACAGCAAUAGCAGCUGAAGCUUCUUGGAAUUGCAAGGUUAUAGCAACAGCCAUCAGUACAGACAUGCCUCAGUAUUUACAUGGGAUCAAGAUAUCAGCUGAAGUAUCGUGUUUUUAAAUUCCUUUGAGAGCCUAUCUUAGUCCCUGGGGUUCAAGCAGCUGUGGCAGUGAAGGAUCAGAGGGAAUGUAUGAAUCACUCAAGAAGAGGUGAUCUCCUCGGUGUGAAAAACUGUCACUCAGGCCUUCACCUAGAAAAAAAGGUGAUUUCUCUCUCCAGCUCCAGUGCCCAGCUCUAAAACAAACCCAAGUCUUGGAACCUUCCAAGGCUCAACAGAGAGUUGCUGAGCCAGAAGAAACAAUGCUGGGAAGCUCUAGCACUCCUCCUAGCCAGAAGUAUCCAGUCUCUGCUUGAAGGAACCAGCUGGCUCUCACAACAUAUAUUACAUGUGGCUCUUCUGUCUCUUUCAUGUCUUUGCUUGUGUUACAAAAGUAUAGAGGUGGGAGCUAUAUGUUAAAGCAGGCCAGAUCAUAAAUGUGAAAGUAUAGCCAUAGUUUUACUCCACAGUUGAAUAGUCUGGGAAAGUAAACAGAAGGAGCUGCAAGUAGAACAAAAGUAAGUUCAGCCUUCCAUCCAGUAGAAAAAAACCUGCUGGUGUGUUGGAUAUUGUACAGAACACCUCAGAAUUUCCCCCCUGCACAUCACAGGAUCAAAUAUACCUCACAGCUGAGUUGCAACUCUAGCACCUGCUUGCAAGCUGAGAAUCAAAUGGUCAUAUACCAGGAAGAAGGAUACCUUGCUGAGAACUUCCUCAGAUUCACCCAGUGCUUCAGACAAAAAAAAAAAAAAAAAAAGAAGA